rnacentral:rRNA from 1 species
UACAGAGGUCUCAAGCGUUGUUCGGAUUCAUUGGGUUUAAAGGGUGCGCAGGCGGGACAUUAAGUCAGGGGUGAAAGACGGUUGCUCAACAAUCGCAGUGCCUUUGAUACUGGUGUUCUUGGGUAACCUUGAGGUAGGCGGAAUGGGUGGUGUAGCGGUGAAAUGCAUAGAUACCACCCAGAACUCCGAUUGCGAAGGCAGCCUACUGGAGGUCAACCGACGCUCAGGCACGAAAGCGUGGGGAGUCAAACAGGA